rnacentral:tmRNA from 1 species
AAAACUUAUAGUUGCCAACGACGACAACUACGCACUAGCUGCUUAAAAACCAGUAAAUGCCUUCUGCCCGGAUCGUGCCUGUGCGUCCGGAUCGCAGGAGUCACCGACACAGGACCGCGGCGCGAGCAUGUUCAGGGCUCAAACCGUUAAAUCCUUACUGAACUGGCUGUGAGUUUUCCCUGCCCGUCGGGUAGCCUGCAGUGAGAUUAAAGACGGAAUAAGCAUGUAGAUCUCGUAGCGUAGGGCUUGCGGACGCGAGUUCGAUUCUCGCCACCUCCACCA